CCGAUCCGGCUCUGAAAACCCUGCCAUAUUGUGAUCAGGAACUUUUGAUUAUAUGUUUUUUAGUAAAACUGCGAUUGCUUAGGUGAAACAUUUCGAUGUGUGGGCCCGCAACACGGACUCUAGCAUCUUGCGCCCGAAUACAGGGAAUGGAUACGGUGUUUCUCUUGAUGACAUUGGCAUGAAAGCCACACUUGAUAAGCUGAUGGAAGAUUACAUAAGCCUUAUUUCAAGAGUUUUGUUUCAGAUACCGAGUUCUCAAGAAACCCCGCAAGAGUCUACCCGCACACCCACCCCUCUUGCUGCUGUUCAACAAACACUGGUGGCAACUAAUCAAGUGACUGAUGAACCUCGAUCAACCCCUCAACCACUGUCUCUUGAACCCACUGGAAGUAAGUCCUCUACUAAAUCUUGAGCUCAAGUUCAAGCUCGUAACGAUAAGCCUGGCACUGGACCCAGUAGGAAGAAUAAGCUAGACCGCUAUGCACCCAGAAUGACAGUUGAACAUGAUAACAUCUUUUAGCGGUGUUCUUUCAAUUCUUUAAAAAUACUAGCACCUACUAUACAUAAAAUGAAGCAUAGAUGAUUUUAUUUAUGCGUAACAAACAAAUCCGUUCCUGCCAUGAUUCUUCGACUGUGUGAAUGAGAUGGUUACUCCAUUGUUUGAGAAAUCAUUGACUGCUACAAAUACUUAUUCAAGAAUCGGAAAUAUUUAGUUUGGCACAGAAAGGAGAGAAGCUAUAUGGGAAUGGAUUAAAACUUUCUGAA